rnacentral:rRNA from 1 species
UACGGAGGGCGCGAGCGUUACCCGGAUUUACUGGGCGUAAAGGGCGUGUAGGCGGUCUGGGGCGUCCCAUGUGAAAGGCCACGGCUCAACCGUGGAGGAGCGUGGGAUACGCUCAGGCUAGACGGUGGGAGAGGGUGGUGGAAUUCCCGGAGUAGCGGUGAAAUGCGCAGAUACCGGGAGGAACGCCGAUGGCGAAGGCAGCCAUCUGGCCCACCCGUGACGCUGAGGAGCGAAAGCGUGGGGAGCAAACCGG